rnacentral:rRNA from 1 species
CGCUAGCUACAGGCUUAACACAUGCAAGUCGAGGCUUUUCAGGAAGAAAGCUUGCUUUCUUUGCUGGCGACCGGCGCACGGGUGAGUAACACGUAUCCAACCUGCCCUUUACUCGGGGAUAGCCUUUCGAAAGAAAGAUUAAUACCCGAUAGCAUAAUGAUUCCGCAUGGUUUCAUUAUUAAAGGAUUCCGGUAAAGGAUGGGGAUGCGUUCCAUUAGGUUGUUGGUGAGGUAACGGCUCACCAAGCCUUCGAUGGAUAGGGGUUCUGAGAGGAAGGUCCCCCACAUUGGAACUGAGACACGGUCCAAACUCCUACGGGAGGCAGCAGUGAGGAAUAUUGGUCAAUGGGCGCUAGCCUGAACCAGCCAAGUAGCGUGAAGGAUGAAGGCUCUAUGGGUCGUAAACUUCUUUUAUAUAAGAAUAAAGUGCAGUAUGUAUACUGUUUUGUAUGUAUUAUAUGAAUAAGGAUCGGCUAACUCCGUGCCAGCAGCCGCGGUAAUACGGAGGAUCCGAGCGUUAUCCGGAUUUAUUGGGUUUAAAGGGAGCGUAGGUGGACUGGUAAGUCAGUUGUGAAAGUUUGCGGCUCAACCGUAAAAUUGCAGUUGAUACUGUCAGUCUUGAGUACAGUAGAGGUGGGCGGAAUUCGUGGUGUAGCGGUGAAAUGCUUAGAUAUCACGAAGAACUCCGAUUGCGAAGGCAGCUCACUGGACUGCAACUGACACUGAUGCUCGAAAGUGUGGGUAUCAAACAGGAUUAGAUACCCUGGUAGUCCACACAGUAAACGAUGAAUACUCGCUGUUUGCGAUAUACAGUAAGCGGCCAAGCGAAAGCAUUAAGUAUUCCACCUGGGGAGUACGCCGGCAACGGUGAAACUCAAAGGAAUUGACGGGGGCCCGCACAAGCGGAGGAACAUGUGGUUUAAUUCGAUGAUACGCGAGGAACCUUACCCGGGCUUAAAUUGCAGUGGAAUGAUGUGGAAACAUGUCAGUGAGCAAUCACCGCUGUGAAGGUGCUGCAUGGUUGUCGUCAGCUCGUGCCGUGAGGUGUCGGCUUAAGUGCCAUAACGAGCGCAACCCUUAUCUUUAGUUACUAACAGGUUAUGCUGAGGACUCUAGAGAGACUGCCGUCGUAAGAUGUGAGGAAGGUGGGGAUGACGUCAAAUCAGCACGGCCCUUACGUCCGGGGCUACACACGUGUUACAAUGGGGGGUACAGAAGGCAGCUAGCGGGUGACCGUAUGCUAAUCCCAAAAGCCUCUCUCAGUUCGGAUCGAAGUCUGCAACCCGACUUCGUGAAGCUGGAUUCGCUAGUAAUCGCGCAUCAGCCACGGCGCGGUGAAUACGUUCCCGGGCCUUGUACACACCGCCCGUCAAGCCAUGGGAGCCGGGGGUACCUGAAGUACGUAACCGCAAGGAUCGUCCUAGGGUA